ensembl:snRNA U6 U6 spliceosomal RNA
GAGAUAAAAUUUCAGCAGCACAUAUGCUAAAAUUGGAGCGAUACAGAGAUUAGCAUGGCCCCUGCACAAGGAUGACACGCAAAUUUAUGAAGCGUUCCAUAUUUAA